rnacentral:rRNA from 1 species
UGAACGCUGGCGGCGCGCCUAAUACAUGCAAGUCGAGCGAGAAGACGUAGCAAUACGUUUGUAAAGCGGCGAACGGGUGAGGAAUACAUGGGUAACCUACCCUCGAGUGGGGAAUAACUAGCCGAAAGGUUAGCUAAUACCGCGUACGCUCCUUGGACUUCGGUUCAGGGAGGAAAGCGAUACCGUGGGUAUCGCGCUCUUGGUUGGGCUCAUGUCCUAUCAGCUUGUUGGUGAGGUAACGGCUCACCAAGGCUUCGACGGGUAGCUGGUCUGAGAGGACGAUCAGCCACACUGGCACUGCGACACGGGCCAGACUCCUACGGGAGGCAGCAGUAAGGAAUAUUGCGCAAUGGGCGAAAGCCUGACGCAGCGACGCCGCGUGGGGGAUGAAGGUCUUCGGAUUGUAAACCCCUUUCGGGAGGGAAGAUGGAACGAGCAAUCGUUCGGACGGUACCUCCAGAAGCAGCCACGGCUAACUUCGUGCCAGCAGCCGCGGUAAUACGAAGGUGGCAAGCGUUAUUCGGAUUUACUGGGCGUACAGGGAGCGUAGGCGGUUCGGUAAGCCCUCUGUGAAAUCUCCAGGCUUAACCUGGAACAGUCGGAGGGGACUGCUGGGCUAGAGGACGGGAGAGGAGCGCGGAAUUCCCGGUGUAGCGGUGAAAUGCGUAGAGAUCGGGAGGAAGGCCGGUGGCGAAGGCGGCGCUCUGGAACGUUUCUGACGCUGAGGCUCGAAAGCGU